rnacentral:rRNA from 1 species
GAUGAACGCUGGCGGCGUGCCUAAUACAUGCAAGUCGAGCGAACAGACGAGGAGCCUGCUCCUUUGACGUUAGCGGCGGACGGGUGAGUAACACGUGGGUAACCUACCUAUAAGACUGGGAUAACUUCGGGAAACCGGAGCUAAUACCGGAUAAUAUUUCGAACCGCAUGGUUCGAUAGUAAAAGAUGGCUUUGCUAUCACUUAUAGAUGGACCUGCGCCGUAUUAGCUAGUUGGUAAGGUAACGGCUUACCAAGGCAACGAUACGUAGCCGACCUGAGAGGGUGAUCGGCCACACUGGAACUGAGACACGGUCCAGACUCCUACGGGAGGCAGCAGUAGGGAAUCUUCCGCAAUGGGCGAAAGCCUGACGGAGCAACGCCGCGUGAGUGAUGAAGGUCUUCGGAUCGUAAAACUCUGUUAUUAGGGAAGAACAAACGUGUAAGUAACUGUGCACGUCUUGACGGUACCUAAUCAGAAAGCCACGGCUAACUACGUG